rnacentral:rRNA from 1 species
AUGCACGCUGGCGGCGUGCCUAAUACAUGCAAGUCGCGCGAACAGACGAGGAGCUUGCUCCUCUGACGUUAGCGGCGGACGGGUGAGUAACACGUGGAUAACCUACCUAUAAGACUGGGAUAACUUCGGGAAACCGGAGCUAAUACCGGAUAAUAUAUUGAACCGCAUGGUUCAAUAGUGAAAGACGGUUUUGCUGUCACUUAUAGAUGGAUCCGCGCCGCAUUAGCUAGUUGGUAAGGUAACGGCUUACCAAGGCGACGAUGCGUAGCCGACCUGAAAGGGUGAUCGGCCACACUGGAACUGAGACACGGUCCAGACUCCUACGGGAGGCAGCAGUAGGGAAUCUUCCGCAAUGGGCGAAAGCCUGACGGAGCAACGCCGCGUGAGCGAUGAAGGUCUUCGGAUCGUAAAACUCUGUUAUUAGGGAAGAACAAAUGUGUAAGUAACUAUGCACGUCUUGACGGUACCUAAUCAGAAAGCCACGGCUAACUACGUG